UCGAGCUCUUCCCUUGGGUGGCCGUACCCACUGGGAACUAUGGAGUUAGUUCUCACCCCACGUUGUUUCGGGGUUUUACAGGUUCACACGUGAGCGGCGCGGCGGCGCGAGGCAAGGGCGUAGCUCCAUAGAUAGCGCCCUACCACCGAGACCAGAGAUAGUGGUACCCCAAGUCGGCAUAGCCUAGGGGUAGAGAAAAAUGAAAGAACAAGAUGUAUCAAACUUGUAGUAAAUUUAUGAUAAUUGGAUUGUAUUUGGAAGUUGAAUGUAAACGAAUGUAAUUUGUAAUGUAAAAUGUAAUAUGUGAGAUGAAUGCUUGUAAUAGCAAGUAGAUUUAUGUUUUGAUACUUCCUUAUGCAAUCUUUGGUUGAAAUGUGUUCCUAGUUGGAACUUCGUACAUUGUAUUGAUUGCGACGCCUUGAACGUACAGGGGAGACUCUGUCCGCGGUACAGGGGAAACCCUGUCCGU
rnacentral:lncRNA from 1 species